CAGCAGCAGCCGCGGUAAGACAGAGGAUGCAAGCGUUAUCCGGAAUGAUUGGGCGUAAAGCGUCUGUAGGUGGCUUUUCAAGUCCGCCGUCAAAUCCCAGGGCUCAACCCUGGACAGGCGGUGGAAACCACCAAGCUGGAGUACGGUAGGGGCAGAGGGAAUUUCCAGUGGAGCGGUGAAAUGCGUUGAGAUCGAAAAGAACACCAACAGCGAAAGCACUCUGCUGGGACGACACUGACACUAAGAGACGAAAGCUAGGGGAGCAAAUGGGAUUAGAUACCCGCGUAGUCCCUGUCUCUUAUAC
rnacentral:rRNA from 1 species